rnacentral:misc_RNA from 1 species
GGAUGAAGAACGCAGCGAAAUGCGAUACGUAAUGUGAAUUGCAGAAUUCAGUGAAUCAUCGAAUCUUUGAACGCAUAUUGCGCUCUUUGGUAUUCCGAAGAGCAUGCUUGUUUGAGUAUCAGUAAACACCUCAACCUCUUCUUGAUUUUUCAAAAGGAGGGUGGACUUGAGCUAUCCCAACAACCUUUACCGGUCGGCGGGCGGCUUGAAAUGCAGGUGCAGCUGGACUUUUAUCUGAGCUAAAAGCAUAUCUAUUUAGUCCUCGUCAAACAGGAUUAUUACUUUUGCUGCAGCUAACAUAAAGGAUAAUUGUCCUCUUUGCUGACUGAUGCAGGAUUUUACGACACUUUAUGUGUUGUUCAACUCGAUCUCAAAUCAAGUAAGACUACCCGCUGAACUUAAGCAUAUCAAUAAGCGGAGGA